AACGAACGCUGGCGGCAUGCCUAACACAUGCAAGUCGAACGAGACCUUCGGGUCUAGUGGCGCACGGGUGCGUAACGCGUGGGAACCUGCCUUUAGGUUCGGAAUAACUCAGAGAAAUUUGAGCUAAUACCGGAUGAUGUCUUCGGACCAAAGAUUUAUCGCCUUUAGAUGGGCCCGCGUUGGAUUAGCUAGUUGGUGGGGUAAAGGCCUACCAAGGCGACGAUCCAUAGCUGGUCUGAGAGGAUGAUCAGCCACACUGGGACUGAGACACGGCCCAGACUCCUACGGGAGGCAGCAGUGGGGAACAUUGGACAAUGGGCGAAAGCCUGAUCCAGCAAUGCCGCGUGAGUGAUGAAGGCCUUAGGGUUGUAAAGCUCUUUUACCCGAGAUGAUAAUGACAGUAUCGGGAGAAUAAGCUCCGGCUAACUCCGUG
rnacentral:rRNA from 1 species